ACACGUAGGGGCCUGACGUUGUUCGGAAUCAUUGGGCGUAAAGGGCGCGCAGGCGGCGAGGCAAGUCCGGUGUGAAAGUGCUCGGCUCAACCGAGUGAUGCGCUGGAAACUGCCCUGCUUGAGUACAGGAGGGGACGUCGGAAUUCCAGGUGUAGGGGUGAAAUCUGUAGAUAUCUGGAAGAACACCGGUGGCGAAGGCGGACGUCUGGCCAUGUACUGACGCUGAGGCGCGAAGGUGCGGGGAGCGAACAGGUUUAGAUACCCUGGUAGUCCGCACAGUAAACGAUGUGCACCAGGUGGCGGGGGGUAGCCCUCGGUACCGAAGCCAACGCAUUAAGUGCACCGCCUGGGGAGUAUGCUCGCAAGGGUGAAACUCAAAGGAAUUGACGGGG
rnacentral:rRNA from 1 species